rnacentral:lncRNA from 1 species
UAUGACAAAAUUCAUAAAGGUAGCACAAGUGAAGAUGAAACUGGAUCACCAUUAGGAAAUGCAGCUACCAAGUAUGUUAUACUUGAAGAAAUGGAAGAUCAAGACCAUGGUCCUUGAAGUUUUACAUAUGACAUUCCAACUACGCUGCGCUCUGAUGGCGUUUUGUAUUUGCAACGUAAGGAAUGGGACGAACAAAUGCGUAGAUUUUCUAGCAAAUGAAGGUCAAUCGUAUACAUGAGGAAGAUAUGUUAAUCAAGGAAGAUGAGUUUUUUCACCUAGUAAACUUUAAGACAUGUUGCUAAUAGAAGGGAAAUAUAUUACUUCCUAUGUGCUAAAAAAAUAAUGAUAUACAUUUUUAUACUUAGUAGAAAUUUAACUUUUGAACUUUUCGUUUUACACCUAAAGUUAGGGGGUGGAAGUUUAGUAUUCAGUUCGAGAUUUCCAAAUUUCGAGUUCGGUAGUUAAAAAUAGAUUCAAUUCAGUAUGGUAUUCAGUAAUACCGUAUUGAAGUUGUAGGAUUUGAAAAUGAAUGAUUACAAAUCUUUCUACUUUUUGUUUGUUAAAAUCAUGUCCUUUUCUGACCAAGUUAAAGAAAAAGAGAAAUUGGUCUCUUCUUUUGUUUAGAUGAUAAUGUUAGUGGACCUAGCUUGAAAUGUGAGACAAAAUUAUAUGAAUUGAAGUUUCAUUUCGAUAUGUAAUCCGACUGAUUUGAUAAUAUUUUCACUCUUUAUUUGAUUUCAAGUAUGCAUAAAAAACAAAUGUAACGUAUAUUUAUAUCCAUACAAAUAUCUACACAUAUUUUUAAUUUAAGAUUACAAAAUUUUAAAAGUUGUCUAUAACUUUCAUAAAUUAAUAUCCCAUGAAACUAAGAUACACAAACUAAAACUAGCGGAGUAACUUAGUACUAAUUCGAUUUACUUCAUACAUUGUUUUAGUACUAGACAUAUAAGCUCGUGCUCACACAAACUCAAUAACAUAGAUAGUAGUUCAAUCAAAUUGUUGAUAUCGAGCCAUUUUUAGUCCAAAAUGUGACUUUUGCAUGGUUUAAUGGCAUGUGUUGAAGUCGUAAUUUUUCCAUUUUCGUUACUCAGGUAUGACAAAAUUCAUAAAGGUAGCACAAGUGAAGAUGAAACUGGAUCACCAUUAGAAAAUGCAGCUACCAAGUAUGUUAUACUUGAAGAAAUGGAAGAUCAAGACCAUGGUCCUUGAAGUAUUACAUAUGACAUUCCAACUACGUUGCGCUCUGAUGGUGUUUUGUAUUUGCAACGUAAGGAAUGGGACGAACAAAUGCGUAGAUUUUCUAGCAAAUGAAGGUCAAGUCGUAUACAUGGAGAAGAUUUGUUAAUCAAGGAAGUUGAGUUUUUUCACCUAGUAAACUUUAAGACAUGUUGCUUAUAGAAGGGAAAUAUAUUACUCCCUAUGUGCUAAAAAAAUAAUGAUAUACAUUUUUAUACUUGUAGAAAUUUAACUUUUAAACUUCUCGUUUU